UACGGAGGGGCUAGCGUUGUUCGGAAUUACUGGGCGUAAAGCGCACGUAGGCGGCUUUGUAAGUUAGAGGUGAAAGCCCAGGGCUCAACCCUGGAAUUGCCUUUAAGACUGCAUCGCUUGAACAUCGGAGAGGUAAGUGGAAUUCCGAGUGUAGAGGUGAAAUGCGUAGAGAUGUGGAGGAACACCGAUGGCGAAGGCAGCCCCUGGGUCAAGAUUG
rnacentral:rRNA from 1 species